AACGAACGCUGGCGGCAUGCCUAACACAUGCAAGUCGAACGAGACCUUCGGGUCUAGUGGCGCACGGGUGCGUAACGCGUGGGGACCUGCCCUUAGGUUCGGAAUAACUCCCCGAAAGGGGUGCUAAUACCGGAUAAUGUCUCCGGACCAAAGAUUUAUCGCCUUUGGAUGGGCCCGCGUUGGAUUAGCUAGUUGGUAGGGUAAAAGCCUACCAAGGCGACGAUCCAUAGCUGGUCUGAGAGGAUGAUCAGCCACACUGGGACUGAGACACGGCCCAGACUCCUACGGGAGGCAGCAGUGGGGAAUAUUGGAAAAUGGGCGAAAGCCUGAUCCAGCAAUGCCGCGUGAGUGAUGAAGGCCGUAGGGUUGUAAAGCUCUUUUACCCGGGAUGAUAAUGACAGUACCGGGAGAAUAAGCUCCGGCUAACUCCGUG
rnacentral:rRNA from 1 species